rnacentral:rRNA from 1 species
GAUGAACGCUGGCGGCGUGCCUAAUACAUGCAAGUCGAGCGAACGGACGAGAAGCUUGCUUUUCUGAUGUUAGCGGCGGACGGGUGAGUAACACGUGGAUAACCUACCUAUAAGACUGGGAUAACUUCGGGAAACCGGAGCUAAUACCGGAUAAUAUUUUGAACCGCAUGGUUCAAAAGUGAAAGACGGUCUUGCUGUCACUUAUAGAUGGAUCCGCGCUGCAUUAGCUAGUUGGUAAGGUAACGGCUUACCAAGGCAACGAUGCAUAGCCGACCUGAGAGGGUGGUCGGCCACACUGGAACUGAGACACGGUCCAGACUCCUACGGGAGGCAGCAGUAGGGAAUCUUCCGCAAUGGGCGAAAGCCUGACGGAGCAACGCCGCGUGAGUGAUGAAGGUCUUCGGAUCGUAAAACUCUGUUAUUAGGGAAGAACAUAUGUGUAAGUAACUGUGCACAUCUUGACGGUACCUAAUCAGAAAGCCACGGCUAACUACGUGCCAGCAGCCGCGGUAAUACGUAGGUGGCAAGCGUUAUCCGGAAUUAUUGGGCGUAAAGCGCGCGUAGGCGGUUUUUUAAGUCUGAUGUGAAAGCCCACGGCUCAACCGUGGAGGGUCAUUGGAAACUGGAAAACUUGAGUGCAGAAGAGGAAAGUGGAAUUCCAUGUGUAGCGGUGAAAUGCGCAGAGAUAUGGAGGAACACCAGUGGCGAAGGCGACUUUCUGGUCUGUAACUGACGCUGAUGUGCGAAAGCGUGGGGAUCAAACAGGAUUAGAUACCCUGGUAGUCCACGCCGUAAACGAUGAGUGCUAAGUGUUAGGGGGUUUCCGCCCCUUAGUGCUGCAGCUAACGCAUUAAGCACUCCGCCUGGGGAGUACGACCGCAAGGUUGAAACUCAAAGGAAUUGACGGGGACCCGCACAAGCGGUGGAGCAUGUGGUUUAAUUCGAAGCAACGCGAAGAACCUUACCAAAUCUUGACAUCCUUUGACAACUCUAGAGAUAGAGCCUUCCCCUUCGGGGGACAAAGUGACAGGUGGUGCAUGGUUGUCGUCAGCUCGUGUCGUGAGAUGUUGGGUUAAGUCCCGCAACGAGCGCAACCCUUAAGCUUAGUUGCCAUCAUUAAGUUGGGCACUCUAAGUUGACUGCCGGUGACAAACCGGAGGAAGGUGGGGAUGACGUCAAAUCAUCAUGCCCCUUAUGAUUUGGGCUACACACGUGCUACAAUGGACAAUACAAAGGGCAGCGAAACCGCGAGGUCAAGCAAAUCCCAUAAAGUUGUUCUCAGUUCGGAUUGUAGUCUGCAACUCGACUACAUGAAGCUGGAAUCGCUAGUAAUCGUAGAUCAGCAUGCUACGGUGAAUACGUUCCCGGGUCU